UACGGAGGGGGCCAGCGUUGUUCGGAAUUAUUGGGCGUAAAGGGCGCGUAGGCGGCAGGAUAAGUCUGACGUGAAAUCCCUCGGCCUAACCGAGGAACUGCGUUUGAAACUGUCCAGCUCGAGUCCGGGAGAGGGUAGUGGAAUUCCCAGUGUAGCGGUGAAAUGCGUAGAGAUCGGAAGGAACGUCGAUGGCGAAGGCAGCCGCCUGGCCUAAUACUGACGCUGAGGCGCGAGAGCGUGGGGAGCGAACAGG
rnacentral:rRNA from 1 species